rnacentral:lncRNA from 1 species
AUGUGAACACUUCCUACCACAAAGGGUACCACACAAAUCACCUUGUAAAUCACCUAGAAAAUUGGUAAGUGUGGGAGCACUGUAGCUUUAUUUCUCAUUUACUCAUACUGUAAAGAUACGAGUA